GUGAUGUUAGCUCAGUUGGUUAGAGCGCUAGGUUGUGGACCUAGAGGUCGCCGGUUCAAAUCCGGUACAUCACCCCA
rnacentral:tRNA from 3 species